GGCAAAACGAUUCAUGAAGCUUGAUCAUGCCUCGACAAAAAUAUUCAGGCGCCUCCUCCUAAGAUGUAGUGUCUCUUCCUCUGGUUACGAGCGUUUGUUAUGAGCGUGUACAAGUCUGCAGGUCGAUAUCAAAAGGAGUCAGAGAACAAGGCAGUCAGCUUCCUCGUUGCCUGUUAUCAAGACGUGAUGGAAUCCAAUGGUCAACAACGGCCGCUCCGAUAUCACAGGCAGUGCCUGCAUACGUGAAUGCAGCGCACGAGAGGACUUCCUAGGUUUCCUUUCAUAAAGCGAUUGCGAGAGUCACGGGAGCCGCAGAAAAUAAAAACGCUGCUGCCAGAAGACUCAGCUUAUUUGUAGCAGUGUUGGAA